rnacentral:rRNA from 1 species
CAGCAGUGGGGAAUUGUUCGCAAUGGGCGCAAGCCUGACGACGCAACGCCGCGUGGAGGAUGAAGAUCUUCGGGUCGUAAACUCCUUUCGAUCGAGACGAACGGCCUCCAGGUGAACAAUCUGGAGGAGUGACGGUACCGAGAGAAGAAGCCCCGGCUAACUCCGUGCCAGCAGCCGCGGUAAUACGGGGGGGGCAAGCGUUGUUCGGAAUUACUGGGCGUAAAGGGCGCGUAGGCGGCCUUCUUAGUCAGACGUGAAAUCCCCAGGCUUAACUUGGGAACUGCGUCUGAUACUGGAGGGCUCGAGUGCGGGAGAGGGAUGUGGAAUUCCCGGUGUAGUGGUGAAAUGCGUAGAUAUCGGGAGGAACACCAGUGGCGAAGGCGGCCUUCUGGGCCUUUCCUGACGCUGAGGCGCGAAAGCGUGGGUAGCAAACCGGAUUAGAUACCCCGGUAGUCCUGGCCCUAAACGAUGAAUGCUUGGUGUGGCGGGUAUCGAUCCCUGCUGUGCCGAAGCUAACGCAUUAAGCAUUCCGCGGGUGGAGUACGGUCGCAAGGACGUGAAACUCAAAGGAAUUGACGGGGGCCCGCACAAGCGGUGGAGCAUGUGGUACAAUUCUUGGCGGAAGCCGGUUUUCCGAAGGACCUUACCCAGGCUCGAACGGUGAUGGACAUCCGGCGAAACGCCGGCUCCCGCAAGGGCCCGUCAUCGAGGUGCUGCAUGGCUGUCGUCAGCUCGUGUCGUGAGAUGUUGGGUUAAGUCCCGCAACGAGCGCAACCCUUGUCCGCUGUUGCCAUCAGGUCACGCUGGGCACUCUGCGGAGACUGCCGGUGAUAAACCGGAGGAAGGUGGGGAUGACGUCAAGUCAGCAUGGCCUUUAUGUCUGGGGCUACACACGUGCUACAAUGGCCGAUACAAACCGUCGCGAUACCGCAAGGUGGAGCUAAUCGGAGAAAAUCGGUCUCAGUUCGGAUUGCAGGCUGCAACUCGCCUGCAUGAAGUUGGAAUCGCUAGUAAUCGCGGAUCAGCACGCCGCGGUGAAUACGUUCCCGGGCCUUGUACACACCGC